AUGUACCUCUCUUUGCCAAACAGCAGAUGGCCUCACACACCGUCUGCCCUGGUACACCUACUGAGACCCAGCAGGGGCUGCUGGGUUGCCAGGUGUACGUAAUGAUGGGUUGAGUCCAAUAAGUGAUAUCUUGCCAUGUACGUAAUGAUGGGUUGCCAGGUGUACGUAAUGAUGUGUUGAGUCCAAUAAGUGAUAUCUUGCCAUGUACGUAAUGAUGGGUUGCCAGGUGUACGUAAUGAUGUGUUGAGUCCAAUAAGUGAUAUCUUGCCAUGUACGUAAUGAUGGGUUGCCAGGUGUACGUAAUGAUGGGUUGCCAGGUGUGCGUAAUGAUGGGUUGCCAGGUGUACGUAAUGAUGUGUUGAUUCCAAUAAGUGAUAUCUUGCCAUGUACGUAAUGAUGGGUUGCCAGGUGUACGUAAUGAUGGGUUGCCAGGUGUGCGUAAUGAUGGGUUGCCAGGUGUACGUAAUGAUGGGUUGCCAGGUGUACGUAAUGAUGGAUUGCCAGGUGUACGUAAUGAUGGAUUGCCAUGUGUGCAUAAUGAUGGGAACUAUGUGUGUGUAAUGAUGGGUUGCCAUGUGUGCGUAAUGAUGGGUUGCCAGGUGUGCGUAAUGAUGGAUUGCCAGGUGUGCGUAAUGAUGGAUUGCCAGGUGUGGGUAAUGACGGGUUGCCAUGUGUGGGUAAUGACGGGUUGCCAUGUGUGGGUAAUGACGGGUUGCCAUGUGUGCGUAAUGACGGGUUGCCAUGUGUGGGUAAUGACGGGUUGCCAUGUGUGGGUAAUGACGGGUUGCCAUGUGUGGGUAAUGACGGGUUGCCAUGUGUGGGUAAUGACGGGUUGCCAUGUGUGGGUAAUGACGGGUUGCCAUGUGUGGGUAAUGACGGGUUGCCAUGUGUGGGUAAUGACGGGUUGCCAUGUGUGGGUAAUGACGGGUUGCCAUGUGUGGGUAAUGACGGGUUGCCAUGUGUGGGUAAUGACGGGUUGCCAUGUGUGGGUAAUGACGGGUUGCCAUGUGUGGGUAAUGACGGGUUGCCAUGUGUGGGUAAUGACGGGUUGCCAUGUGUGCGUAAUGACGGGUUGCCAUGUGUGCAUAAUGAUGGAUUGCCAGGUGUGCAUAAUGAUGGGAACUAUGUGUGCAUAAUGAUGGGAACUAUGUGUGUGUAAUGAUGGGUUGCCAUGUGUGCAUAAAGAUGGGUUGCCAGGUGGGCAUAAUGACAGGUUGCCAGGUGUGCGUAAUGACGGGUUGCCAGGUGUGCGUAAUGACGGGUUGCCAGGUGUGCGUAAUGACGGGUUGCCAGGUGAGUGUAAUGACGGGUUGCUAUGUGUGUGUAAAGUUGCCAGAGCCGGUUGUUAGUAAACCGGCGAUGUCGACCGUCAGAGCGGGAGUCAACGUGACAGCCAGGCUCCAAGGAUCUCCCAUUCUUUGUAGCACUGAAUAGUUUCAUCAUCGUCCUUCUUCUUGAUCCAUCUGAUCCAUCAGAGGGUGUGGAGAGAUCUCAUAUAUUGCUUUCCCAUUGCGUUCCCCCUAGUGUAGCAAACAUGGGAAUUAACUAACUAUUUCCAUCUGGGCUAUUCUAAUAUUAUCUUAAGUGUUACAGGAUUGUCUAUCAGGGUUGGGAGUCAAAUCACUUAAUUCAGGAAGUGAACUAUACUGAACCAAAAUAUAAACGCAACGUGUAAAGUGUUGGUCCCACGUUUCAUGAGCUGAAAUAGAAGAUCCCAGAAAUUUUCCAUACGCACAAAAAACGUAUUUCUCUCAAAUUUUGUUCACAAGUGUGUUUACAUUGUUGUUAGUGAGCAUUUCUCCUUUUCCAAGAUAAUUCAUUCACCUGACAGGUGUGACAUAUCAAGAAGCUGUUUAAACAGCAUGAUCAUUACACAGGUGCACCUUGCGCUGGGGACAUUGAAAGACCACUCUAAAAAGUGCAAUUUGUCACACAACACAAUGCAACAGAUGUCUCAAGUUUUGAUAGAGUGUGCUAUUGGCAUGCCGACUGCAGGAAUGUCCACCAGAGCUGUUGACAGAAGAUGUUAUAUUAUUUUCUCUACCACAAGCCGCCUCCAACUACGUUUUAGAGAAUUUGGCAGUACGUACAACUGGCCUCACAACCACAGACCACGUGUAAUCACGCCAAUCCAGGACCUCCACAUCCGGCUUCUUCACCUGCGGGUUCAUCUGAGACCAGCCACCCGGACAGCUGAUGAAACUGUGGGUUUACACAACCAAAGAAUUUCUGCACAAACUGUCAGAAACCGUCUCAGGGAAGCUCAUCUGCGUGCUCGUCAUCCUCACCAGGGUCUUGACCUGACUGUAGUUCGGUGUCGUAAACCGACUUCAGUGGGCAAAUGCUCAACUUCGAUGGCCACUGGCACGCUGGGAGAAGUGUGCUCUUAACGGAUGAAUCCCGGGUUCAACUGUACGGGCGAGCAGUUUGCUGAUGUCAACAUUGUGAACAGAGAGCCCCAUGGUGAGGUGUGUGCAGUGGGACCCCGACCCUGGUUACUGGACUGACCCCAAUCCUGGUUACUCGACUGAUCCCGACCCUGGUUACUGGACUGACCCCGACCCUGGUUACUGGACUGACCCCAACCCUGGUUACUGGACUGACCCCAACCCUGGUUACUGGGCUGACCCCAAUCCUGGUUACUGGGCUGACCCCAAUCCUGGUUACUGGACUGACCCCACUCCUGGUUACUGGACUGACCCCAAUCCUGGUUACUGGACUGACCCCAACCCUGGUUACUGGACUGACCCCAACCCUGGUUACUGGACUGACCCCAAUCCUGGUUACUGGACUGACCCCAACCCUGGUUACUGGACUGACCCCAAUCCUGGUUACUGGACUGACCCCAAUCCUGGUUACUGGACUGACCCCAAUCCUGGUUACUGGACUGACCCCAAUCCUGGUUACUAGGCUGACCCCAAUCCUGGUUACUGGGCCGACCCCAACCAUAGCUAUUGGACUGACCCCGACCUUGGCUACUGGACCGACCGUACCCUGGUUACUGGACUGACCCGUAACCUGGUUGCUGGACCGACCACAAACUUAGCUACUGGACUGACCCCGACCCUUGUUAUUUCUUACAUUGUUACCCCAGGAAAUCUUGAGUCUUGUUACAUACAACCGGGAACAACUAUUGGAUAUACCAUCAAUACGACAAGGAAUACGACUUUCCCGAAGCGGAUCCUUUGUUCAGACCAUCACCCAGGGCAAUGGAUCUAAUUCCAGAAGCCGAUCCAAAACAACAGAUGGGGCAGACAAAGCGGCCUCCUGGUCAGACUCCGUAGACGUUCACAUCGCCCACCGCUCCCGAGUAUACUACUAGCCAACGUCCAGUCUCUUGACAAGAAGGUAGACGAAAUUCAAGGAAGGGUUGCCUUCCAGAGAGACAUCAGAGAUUGUAAUAUUCUCUGUUACACAGAAACAUGGCUCUCUCGGGACAUGUAGUCAAAUCAAAGCAAAUUUUAUUUGUCACAUACACAUGGUUAGCAGAUGUUAAUGCGAGUGUAGCGAAAAGCUUGUGCUUCUAGUUCCCGACAAGUCGGAAUCGGUUCAGCCACCGGGCUUCUCCAGCCACCGGGCUUCUCCAUGCAUUGUGCAAACAAAGAUGAACACCUCUCGGGGAAGAGGAAGGGUGGGGGUGUAUGCUUCAUGAUUAACGACUCAUGGUGUAAUCAUAACAUACAGGAACUCAAGUCCUUCUGCUCACCCAAACUAGCAUUCCUUACAAUCAAAUGCCGGCCAUUUUACCAACCAAGAGAAUUCUCGUCAGUUAUAGUCACAGCUGGUUUAUAUUCCCCCUCAAGCCCUAAAGGAACUUCACUGGACUUUAUGUAAACAGGAAAUCAUAUAUCCUGAGGGUGCGUUUAUUGUAGCUGGGGAUUUUAACAAAGCACAUUUUAGAACAAAGCUACCUAAAUUCCAUCAUCAUAUUAAUUGCACUAAUACAGUGGAUCACUGCUACUAUAACUUCCGUGAUGCAUAUAAAGCCCUCCCCCGCCCUCCCUUCGACAAAUCCAACCACGACGCCAUCUUGCCCCUACUGUUUUAUAGGCAUAAACUCAAACAGAAUGUACCAGUGGCGAGAACCAGUCAACGCUGGUCUGACCAAUCGGAAGCCAAGCUUCAAGAUUGUUUAGAUCAUGUUGGAAUAUGUUCUGGUCAGCCUCAGAGAACAAC